rnacentral:lncRNA from 1 species
UGAACGAAAUUUUACAGUUGUUGGCGAGAAGUUGUGUUGAAUAGAAUUAUAUGGUGAAAAUAUCUUUAGUCAAAUGAAGGAAGUGAAUGCUGAUGUAUAUGUGUACCAGAAGUGAGCUGAGUCAUCAAAAUUCAAGGCCAACAAAGUUUGAAGUCAAUGAAGCAUCGAACAAAGUGUUCCAUAAUGUGAAAAUGAAAUCCGUGUGAGUUGACAUGACACCAUUUUCUGGUAGAGAAAGCCAAAGCCAACGAGACUGGGCUGGGCGAACCCGAGCCGAGUUUUGGGAGCUACUUACGCACGACUGAUGUGUGGAUGAUCAGCUCAGAUAUUACUCAAUCGUUCGUUUUUUGCCGAUAAAAGAUGAUCAUGGAAGUAUUUGAUCCAACAACAGAGUGAGUGAGCUAAAACAAUGAGAACAUAGAAAUUCUACACAAAUUGCUGUGGGUGCUAAUUCGGAUCUAUUCGGAAUAUGAAAGUGGCGGAAGCGACGGUAUGUGCUGGUGUGAUGUGCUGCUCUAGUUUGUUUAUCAGUUGCACGUGCUGUUCCUCACGUAGUACACCCAAUAUCGAUGUUGAAAAAUUGGUGGUGACGUUUUGAGAGAAUGCGCAACAAAGUGUCUUAGCAGCCGGGACAUCAAAAGAAAGCCAUACUCGUGCGUUAACCAAAACAGCAUAAUUUCCAGAAACGAAUAUGUGGAACAUGAAGGGACAAAAAUAGCAAACAACCAACAUAUGGUUGCGAAGGGUAUUUACAAAUAUUUUCGAAGAACAAUUAGCUUUAAAAUUUCAGCAAUGCGAAGCAGUUGAACGUGCCUGCUAGCAUUUAAAACCAACGUACAUAUAUAUUCUAAACAAUGUAACAUCGUGGGGAAUAAUUUUAUAACAAGCGGAUAACGGAAAUAAUCAUCAUUCUCUCUUUAAAACUAUUUUUACCUGGGGUUGUAAAACGUUGUGACCCUUUCCCUGAUAAAGAUCAACCUGACGUAAGCCAAAUGGAUUUCCUCUUUAAACACUUAUCGUUAAUUUACAGAAUCCUGAAUGUUGAAAUUGAAUAUUGUCUGCUGGCUAGUGGCUGCCGAAACAUCCAUCUCCUUUUUUCUGUUCUUUGUUUUUUUUUUUUUUUCCUCUUUACGAUUUUGUUACAGCGAUACGACAGUUGAACGGUUCCUGUAUGUAUCGGUUGACCAAUGAUAAAGAGCUGAUUCAACAAUUUCCAUGUCUUGAGAAUGUGUUGAGGGAAAACGUUGUUCCCCGAUUGGGAAAAAUCAAACAACCAGCACCUAUUAGAAAUACAUAAACAAAAUACAGGGAUUUGUGUAUAACGAAAAUAAAAAACACAUAUUUUCUACUCAUCUAGAUAACGAACGAGUUACCUCGAGAAUUUUCUUUUGGAUUUUUCAGUGAUACUGCGCAAUAUUGCGAAUUGCAUACGGUCAAUUUGGCAGAUAGAUCCUCUCCAUGCCUUUAAAAUAGUGGCGACGAGGUGGUGAGGUUAGGUCCAUCAUAUCUUGCACUAAUUUCUACCAUUACAGCAUCAAUAAUGGGAAUCAAAGACAAGUUAUAGGCCUCAAAUCUCAUCAGAACUGCCAGCGGGUAAUUCAACGGCCUAAUUUUUUUUUUUAGUAUUUCUUUUUAGCAAUGCGUCACAGUAGAACGUGCCUGUACGCAUCUAACUUACGUAAACAAUUGUGAAGUUUAACGUCAUCACCUUAGAGACAUUGAGAGCAUCCCAUAAUUUCUAUCUAAUUCAAUUGUAAGAGCAAAUACAAUUUUAUUUGACUAAUACCCAAUUUAUAGGGAGCACUAAGAGUACGAUCAACUUUCGUAAUACUGCUUUGAUAUGGCACAGUUGGAUUUUUCUAAAAACAACCAGGAGAAAACUUUGAAUACCUUAACAUCACUUAACAGCACGAGUUUCAACUUGAAGUCGAUUGUAAGACAUUUGCAAUUUUAAAUUUGACUAAUACAUAAUUCAUAGGAAACAAUAACUUAACAAUUGCACUNCAAGGAUACAUUUUAUUUUGUCAAUCACCAACCUACUACAAACCCAUGGAAAUGUAAAUACUGUUCUGAACAUAAGGGCUAAAUCAUGUAAAAAUGGCAAAAGGGAAUCAUGCCAAGACAAUAUCAUAUGCACAGGAGUUGUCAACGAAGGUUAGGUUGAUUUAUAUACCUGUAGUAAUGUUAUUUCACAGUUAUUGCACGAAAAGCGUUGGAGGGAGGAGAUAUCUACUAUAUCUGGUUGAAUACCAAGAUUUCGAUCUGUUAAAUUGGAUAGCAAAAAAGAAAGGUUUACCCAAGCUUAAUAAGUACUUAAUAUUCAAUUGCCGAUUGUUUAUAUUAUGACUUAUUAUACCAUAAACCAGGCGAUAGAGAAGAAAUUUCUAUAUUUUGCAGCGGUACGUCGCAGUUGAUCGGUGCCUGCGUGUGCCCGUGUCUUUGCCUAGCUUACUAGGAAGUUUUUCUAAAGCAGCCUAACAGAUUUAGAGCUUGAAAAUUUCUGACGGAGUCACCAACAGCAUCUAUUCGCCGUGCAACAGUAAGAAACUGUUUCCUUGCCAUAAAUUAAUGCAUUUCUUAUAGAUUUCACGAAAUUGAUGUUCUAAGGAUUGGUUCCUACAUCUUGCUUACGCAAGAAGAAAGAUUAUCUGCAUUUAAUUUUACUAUCUGGACAGUAAAAUUACAAAACAUCAAUUCUGAAUUAGUAUGCUAAAGACACGGUUAUAUGUCCAAAUUUUUUUUACAGAAACUUGCCUGGUCUUUGCAUGAAAGGGAUAAAAAUAAGUUCUUGGCAAAAAGGGAAUCACGCCAACAACAGGUGCCAUGCAUCAAACAAUUUUUACGAUAGAGACGCUACCAAUUUUAUGCAAGAGCUUAGAUGAAAAUCUUUAUACACCUAAAGCACGAGGUAUUCGAUAUUUCGCAGCGUUAAAAGGCACAACGACAUUUUUUACACAAUUUCUGGGGAUUUAAUUCUUUUUUGUUUUUAGCAAAUUGGAAGUUUAUUUUAUAUAUAUUCUUCGAAAACAUACGACUUUUCUCAUUAUAAUUUGUAGCGAUAUAACGUAGUUGAUCUGUACCUGCGUAUAUCUCAUCUGUAUACUGGCUAUAGGGAAUCAAGCCAUACGACACGGUAAAUAGUACGCCCGUCAUGUGAAACAUCGGUUUAUGAGCAGUGAAAGGGCACCCAAAUUGAAAUAACGGUUCCCGUGGAUAUCUUCCACUUGAAACUGGUAAAAUUAAAAUGUCUCGAUUUUUAAACAUCCUGUAAACUUACAUAUCUACACACGAUUUUACUUGCGAUUUUAUUUUCGCGGCAUCAAAAACAACGAAAUAGUUUAUUUAUUACAGCGAUAUAAUACAGUUGAACGGUACCUGUAUGUAUCUACAAUGUGAAUAAUAAUCAGUCGACUCUUUGCCAACUAAAGGCCUGUUAGAGAUAACCAUCAAGAGUAAACGGCAAUUUAUGGUGGUGCAUUUCUGUAUUGCUUCAUCGGACAGUUGGGGAAACUGAAGGUGCUUUGAAAAUGAAUCUUUCCUUCAAUUAAAAAUUUAUUUGCAGUUUGAUGAAAUUUCGUCCGUCUUCUUGGUAAUGUCGUCAGAGAAACUAACUAUGGCAAGAUGUUUCAGCAUUAUCAGUAUUUUCACCAGCUUCCACUCCCCUUACCAUUAUGUUGCAACUUACAGAAUUUACUCGGCCUAUUUUUUUUUUUUUUAUUAAGGAAGUGCAUCAGCGAGCCUCAAAUCUUCAACUAAAUGAGGUGUUUGCUUGAAUUACCCGUUUUUGUUAACACUCUAUUUGCAGUAAACAAUUCAAUGCUUAAUUUAUUGUUAAACAUACAAAUGGCGGCAUUGUACGCAUCCAGAUGAUCGUUAAAGGGAAUCGAACGAUACAACUAGAAGUGGCCGUCCAUAUACAUACAUACCUACAUAUAUACUAUUAAUCAUUGUAAUCACGACAGUCUUGCUCCAAUUGUACGCUAUCUGGUAAUUGAAGGACAAGCUGUAAAUCGUGCCUCAGAAUACCUCACAUACAACGUCGUUGGUCUUCCGUUUAUUUUCGUAAUCUACGAAUCCGUACGAGUCGCCGCUCGGCCAAUUCCUGGCAUUGAGCGAUGGCAAGGAGUUCUGAUGAGUCUGUCCCCGAAUGUGGGCGAAGAAAUGUUUCUAAAGGGAAUCAAAGAAACACGCGUAAGACUUGUUACGGUUCGUUCUGUUAGUAUAAAAUUAUAUAUUUACAGGUCUCAUGUGACUUGACUUAACGAGUCCACAGUAAGAAACGAUUUCAGCCACGGUAUGUGGUUUGCAGAUGGUCUCGCAAAGACUAAUUAAAGAUGUUUAUCAAUCCAAACCACAAUAGCCUAGUUAACAUAUUAAUUAUGUAACUACUCAUUCUAUAAUGCCUGGACAUUACAAGAAUUGUACACAUAAUAAUUGAGAUGAAAUCCAUGUUUACACACGAUUAGUGUUUUUUGUUACAAUUACUUUUCUGUUAAAUACCCUUAAAAGAUAAUUGUAUUCAAGCAUUAUUUUACUUGACCAAAUGUUAUCAAAUUUUAUCAAACUUUCUGUUAUAAUAUCUAAGUUGAAUUGUUUGUCACCCACGAUGUUUUUUAAAAAUCUACUAAUUUUAUCUCAUUGUAAAUUAUAACGACUGUACGAAGAAGUAGUCGAUCCAAUAAUAUGCCGAGUGCAUUAAGAAAUGUGAAGAAAUUUAAAUCCAUAUUCUAAUACACAUGUAAACCAAGAAGAAAAAUCUCAUGUAAAUUGUGACAGUUUAUAUUGACUGAAAUAUCGCAAAUAUUUUUGCAAUGUAAUAUUCAAAAUUUUUGAAAGUUAUUCUGUAAACUCAUUCUUUAUAUAUUUUUAAAAAUCUUACCUUGUAAUUUGACAUGUAACAUUUUUUGAAUGAAUGUAAUUUUGAUAUCUGUAUUGAUUAACUUGGCACACGGCACGAAAGCAGUGAAAACUACAUACUUCCACCACAAGAUCAAAGCAUUCCUUGGUGACCGGUGCGUGAGAGAGAGAGAGAGAGAAAGAGAAAGAUGUCAUUUUGUCAUACAAAGGGUUAUGCUGUGUGAGCAUCAUUUUGAGAGCAGAGAUUUCGUCUUAUUGGGUUAAUUCUUAACUACACAACACACAACCAUCCGAUUGCAAGAGAGAUGCAGAGAUAAAGGGAGAAAAGGCAGGAAAGAGUGCAAGAUAUAGAAAGCUUAGUUCAUAUAGGGAAAACAUCGUGAUCAGCUGUUCCAUUUGGGAUAUCGAAUUAAUUUGGUGGAAUGCGCGGAAGAUUAUAUUAACUUUAAUAUUCUUCGGCCGUACCAUCUAAGCCGCAUUCGCAUCAAAGCAAUAAGUUGCAAGUGCUUUAUACAGCGCCUCACAUUCAAAUUCCAUCCUUCCGUAGUUGUGUGGCAUACACAACUUUUGCAAGUCUGCAGAGCUACACACAAUUUCGUCCAAUGUAGUUCGUCCCGGUGAGAUGUUUACGUGCACAUGCAAUCUCAUCUAGCGUCCUUUUUUGCACUUAACUGCAAGCAUGCGCGCAUACACACACUCAUCGUAUUAACGCACAAAUUAUCAACACACAACCACAAUCUUUCAUUACCAGCAGAAAUCGCGACCAGAGUCUGUUGAAUAGCCAGAGCAAUUGCCUUCCAAGCGUUUUGCAGAGAUAAUAAUAUCUACGUUGAUGCCGAAUCCAUUGCAUUACCUAUUAAUUGCUAAAAAGUAAUUUCGCCCAUUUGUUACCGAUCGGAUUGUACAACUCCGUCGAGAGAGGAUUAAGUACACAUACAUACAUGUAUGCGCUAUGUAUACUAUUCGAGUGCUGGCUUCAUGGUUGUGGUCUGGUUAGUGUGAAUUAAUGUGUGGUCCUCCGUGUGCGUUCUGUUGCAAAGGCAAGAACUUUGGGGCUUCAACGGAGGUUGGUACGGUGGCAUGUGUGACGUAGCUUUGCAGAAAGUAUGAGGGCAAUAUACUGUUCGACCGCUCCAUCCUUUGUUUACCACGACUGGCAUAUCUUUUCGUAACUUCUGAGAGUAUGAGCGUUUUGUCCGAUAUUCAUCUUCAUCGUUCUUAUUUCAUCACUAACUGGGAGAGGCAGAGAGAAGGCAGUUCUAGAAACCCCUUAAGCAAACAACUAUGAAUCUUAUUUCGAGACGUCAGUUUUUCCGUUUAUCUUCACGACUUGAUUGAGUUUAAUUGGGAAGGCAAAAAUUAAAUUAGCAAACAAACAUCGUAAUCAACAAGAGUUGAGGACAGCGUGGGAUUCCAAAGCAUUGACGGCAGCGAGGGAUACCAAGUUGUGACGGCAGCGAGGGAUACCAAGUUGUGACUGCAGCGAGGGAUACCAAGUUGUGACUGCAGCGAGGGAUUCCAAGUAGUGACGGCGGCGUGGGAUACAAAGUUGAGACGGCAGCGAGGGAUACCAAGUUGUGACUGCAGCGUGGGAUUCCAAGUGUUGACGGCAGCGGGGAAUUCAUCGUCGUGGGACUCGGCGGUUCAUCGUGGGGUUGUAGUUUCGGUCUUUUCGGAGAAUUAGAGUAGACGGCAGCGAGGGAUUCCAAGUUGUGACAGCGGCGAGGGAUACCAAGUUGUGACUGCAGCGAGGGAUUCCAAGUAGUGACGGCGGCGUGGGAUACCAAGUUGUGACGGCAGCGUGGGAUACCAAGUUGCGACGGCAGCGUGGGAUACCAAGUUAUGACGGCGGCGUGGGAUACAAAGUUGAGACUG